GCGGUUUCUGCGUCAUAUGUACAAAAAGCUGAUUACGACCUUUGAGAGGUAAGAGACGUCCCACUUUCACAAAAACAAAUGGAUUGAAAAUUACGCGUUGCACUUUGAAGAAUAUGUUCUCUCUCUUUCUCUUUAAUUAUACAGAUGUUUUGUGUUGAGAAAACAAUUUGCAUCUUACCUCGUACGUCAUCACUAAAUGGGUAAGUACAGUAUGUGAAUGAAGUUUUCUAAGUAGAUCC